UUGGAAAAAUCUAAGAAACUGUGUAAUUGCCCUUUAAUUCAGUGAGCAUGCCCUGCACUUUUGUUUUGUUAGCAGGUUUUCUGUAGUGCAGUAAGCGCACAUGUGAUGUGAUUCGGCUGCCAAUGGAAUGGGGAGAGUAAUCAAAAGCCCACUUGUGCUGCCACUGGGCAGCGAAAAACUAGUUGGAACCAACAUGGAGUACCUCCAGUAGGAAGAGAGGCAAGAACCAUUCGUCUGCCAGCUCAGGGACAAGCUACACUAUUCACAGCAAUUACAUUGCAAUGUUCAAUGUAAUUGCAUUGCUGGACUUUUUGAAACUUAAUGUAUUUGUAUUGCGUAAAAAAUUUACAAAUACAAGGAAAUGUAUGGUUUAAACGGGUGUUUAAUGUUAAUUUGUUUUAGCUGUUAGUGAUAAUUCCCAGUGUUAAUACAUUUGUGUUUACAUCAUUAAGCCUUUAUGUAUCUGUUAUGAUCAAAGGGGUCUGACUUUAUAGUAAGCAGAGCCUCAUAGGAUACAAGGCAUUUAUGUAUGUGUUAUAAAUUACCAAAGGGGUCUGACUUUAAAUUAAGUACAGCUUCAUGCGAUAUAGUCUUUAUGGACGUGUUAUGAAUGACUGAAGGUGUCUCACUUCAAACUAAGUAUUACAGGACAACAGUGUCAAUAAAUAUGUUAUUAACGUUC